rnacentral:rRNA from 1 species
GCUUGACUGUAUCUUGGAAUUGGGUUCGGGCUUUUCUUGCGCAGACUAGGUGGGAGGCUAUGAAGAUUUUCUUCUGGGAAAAUUGGAGCCAACAGUGAGAGACCACUCUGGAAAGGCUAGAAUCCUAAUGGUGAUCCUUGAAUCAGGACACUUGACAGUUUCAGGUGGGCAGUUUUUCUGGGGCGGAAGCCUCAUAAAAGGUAACUGAGGCGCGCAAAGGUCCCCUCAGUCUGGACGGAAAUCAGACAUUGAGUGUAAAGGCAAGAGGGGGCUUGACUGCAAGACCCACAAGUCGAGCAGGGGCGAAAGCUGGCCUUAGUGAUCCGACGGUGCCGUGUGGAAGGGCCGUCGCUCAACGAAUAAAAGUUA